CCCGGAGCUUGCUCCACCGAAAGAAAAAGAGUGGCGAACGGGUGAGUAACACGUGGGUAACCUGCCCAUCAGAAGGGGAUAACACUUGGAAACAGGUGCUAAUACCGUAUAACACUAUUUUCCGCAUGGAAGAAAGUUGAAAGGCGCUUUUGCGUCACUGAUGGAUGGACCCGCGGUGCAUUAGCUAGUUGGUGAGGUAACGGCUCACCAAGGCAACGAUGCAUAGCCGACCUGAGAGGGUGAUCGGCCACACUGGGACUGAGACACGGCCCAGACUCCUACGGGAGGCAGCAGUAGGGAAUCUUCGGCAAUGGACGAAAGUCUGACCGAGCAACGCCGCGUGAGUGAAGAAGGUUUUCGGAUCGUAAAACUCUGUUGUUAGAGAAGAACAAGGAUGAGAGUAAAAUGUUCAUCCCUUGACGGUAUCUAACCAGAAAGCCACGGCUAACUACGUGCCAGCAGCCGCGGUAAUACGUAGGUGGCAAGCGUUGUCCGGAUUUAUUGGGCGUAAAGCGAGCGCAGGCGGUUUCUUAAGUCUGAUGUGAAAGCCCCCGGCUCAACCGGGGAGGGUCAUUGGAAACUGGGAGACUUGAGUGCAGAAGAGGAGAGUGGAAUUCCAUGUGUAGCGGUGAAAUGCGUAGAUAUAUGGAGGAACACCAGUGGCGAAGGCGGCUCUCUGGUCUGUAACUGACGCUGAGGCUCGAAAGCGUGGGGAGCGAACAGGAUUAGAUACCCUGGUAGUCCACGCCGUAAACGAUGAGUGCUAAGUGUUGGAGGGUUUCCGCCCUUCAGUGCUGCAGCAAACGCAUUAAGCACUCCGCCUGGGGAGUACGACCGCAAGGUUGAAACUCAAA
rnacentral:rRNA from 1 species